rnacentral:rRNA from 1 species
AUUGAACGCUGGCGGAGUGCUUUACACAUGCAAGUCGAACGGCAGCACGGACUUCGGUCUGGUGGCGAGUGGCGAACGGGUGAGUAAUACAUCGGAACGUGCCCAGUCGUGGGGGAUAACGUAGCGAAAGCUACGCUAAUACCGCAUACGAUCUAAGGAUGAAAGCGGGGGAUCGCAAGACCUCGCGCGAUUGGAGCGGCCGAUGGCAGAUUAGGUAGUUGGUGGGGUAAAGGCCUACCACGCCGACGAUCUGUAGCUGGCAUGAGAGGCCGCCCAGCCACACUGGGACUGAUACACGGCCCAGACUCCUACGGGAGGCAGCAGUGGGGAAUUUUGGACAAUGGGCGCAAGCCUGAUCCAGCCAUUCCGCGUGCAGGAUGAAGUCCCUCGGGUUGUAAACUGCUUUUGUACGGAACGAAAAGGCUCUGGUUAAUACCCGUGGCUCAUGACGGUACCGUAAGAAUAAGCACCGGCUAACUACGUGCCAGCCGCCGCAGUAA